rnacentral:rRNA from 1 species
GAGUAACGCGUAUGACAACCUACCUAUCGAGAGGGGAAUAACCCGGCGAAAGUCGGACUAAUACCGCAUAAAACAGGGGCACCGCAUGGUGAUAUUUGUUAAAGAAUUCGCUGAUAGAUGGGCAUGCGUUCCAUUAGGUAGUUGGUGAGGUAACGGCUCACCAAGCCGACGAUGGAUAGGGGAACUGAGAGGUUGGUCCCCCACACUGGUACUGAGACACGGACCAGACUCCUACGGGAGGCAGCAGUGAGGAAUAUUGGUCAAUGGGCGGGAGCCUGAACCAGCCAAGUCGCCGUGAAGGAAGAAGGGUCUAUGGUUCGUAAACUUCUUUUGCAGGGGAAUAAAGUGCAGGACGUGUCCUGUUUUGUAUGUACCCUGAGAAUAAGGAUCGGCUAACUCCGUGCCAGCAGCCGC